rnacentral:rRNA from 1 species
GAUGAACGCUGGCGGCGUGCCUAACACAUGCAAGUCGAGCGAAGCGGGGAGGGGUGAGUAACACGUGGAUAACCCCCUAUAAGACGGGGAUAACUUAGGGAAAACGGAGCCAAACCGGAUUAUUAUAGCAGGUUCCGGGUGGCAUUAGCUAGUUGGUAAGGUAACGGCUUACCAAGGCAACGAUGCAUAGCCGACCUGAGAGGGUGACCGGCCACACUGGAACUGAGACACGGUCCAGACUCCUACGGGAGGCAGCAGUAGGGAAUCUUCCGCAAUGGGCGAAAGCCUGACGGAGCAACGCCGCGUGAGUGAUGAAGGUCUUCGGAUCGUAAAACUCUGUUAUUAGGGAGGCGGUACCUAAUCAGAAAGCCACGGCUAACUACGUGCCAGCAGCCGCGGUAAUAC